AACCCAAGCUCAAGCCGGGCCGGCGCCCGCCCUCGCCCCAGGGCCUCUCCCGGGUCCCGCCGAGGACUACCGGAUCCGCCGGCGGGAGGGGGAGGGGCCGGGGCCGCGGAGCCCCGCACUCACCAGGCUCAAGGCAACCGACCCCGGUGCCGAUGCUGGGGUGAGCCGCUUGCUCGCUCGCCUUCCCGCCGUUCCUCUCCGGCGCACAAGCUCCAAGUGCCGGCCAGCGCCGGUGCUCACCAGGCCCUCGCUCUCUGCCGCCGCGCACCCAGCAGCGAGACCCUGUUCAGCGGGCGUUCGCAGUGCGCCUGCGUGCGGGGGCCGGCCCACGCGCCUGCGUAUUUCCCUCUGCUGCCCUGCUGCAGAGGCUACCGGGAGACGUAGUCUUUCAGCCGUCAUUCUCUGAAAGCCCUAGCUGUUAGCGGGAACCAAUGAAGAGUCAAGGGUUUGGGACGUCUCGCUGAGGACGGGACUGGGGCUGGACAUGCUCCUGCAGGGCUUGAAGAAGUGAGCUGUCAUGCUAUGAACUGCCUAACCGGAGGGCCAUGUGGCAGCGAUCUACUAAUGGCUUCUAGGACCUGAGUGCCUCCAGCGGACAACCCAAAAGAAGCCAGGGCCCUCAAUCCUACAACCAUGAAGAAAUGAAUUCUACCAACAACCUGAGAGAGCUUAGAAGUGACCCUUCCCCAGUCAAGCCUUCAGAUGAGAAGAUAGACUGACUUAUACCCUGAUUAUAGCUUUGUGAACCAGCUGAGCCUAGACUCCUGGGCCACAGGAACUGUGAGAUAAUAAAUAUGUUUUAAGCCA